UAGUAAACAGGAACAUUAUUUUUGACGUUGAUCAUGUCGAUUUUUGUCAUCUAAAAACUCAGGCAAAAUGUCUCCUUCAAGACCAUCCAUGGGAUUACUGUAAAUGUGGCUGUUCAUCAGAGGCUGACCGGACAUAUCAAGUGCAGAUCUCAUGUGGAUUUUUGGAAUCCAAAUACAGCAUGGAUUUCCAACUCGACAAGCGACAAAACAACCCUGAUUGGAAGAAUAAUGUGAAGGGGACAUCUGACUCCUACACGGACAGCAAUUUCUGAUUUCUACAUGGACAUCAACAUGUGUUCCUACAUGGACAGCAACAUCAAAUUCCUCAGUAUGGACAGUUAUGAUGGUUCAGACAUGGACGGCAACGUUUGCUUCUUACAUAGACAGCAACAUCUGAUUCUUAAAUGGACAGCAACAUCUGAUUCCUACAUGGGCAGCAAUGUUUUAUUCUUAAAUGGACAGCAACAUCUGAUUGAAACAUGGACAGGAACAUCUGAUAUGUGAAGAAAUUAAUGGAACUUAAGUCAAGAACGCUCAUCACAAACUUCCGUCAUUCAGGGUUUUUGUUAAGAGCAGACAGUACACAGUUGAAGGACACGCUAAAAAGUUUCUUUUCUCAUGUUUAUUAAAUCCUUGAAAAGUCCCAAACAUUAUAUAAUUCAGUGUUUAGUUAUCCAUUUCAAACUUGCAUCAUCGUAUAGUGACACUGUGAACUUAUGUGGUUUAAAACUUAAGAAAUUGUACGGUUAUUCAAGAUCCAUGUCACCAGUUUAGGCAUCCACAUCAAAAGAUUUAAAUUAAGUGGUAUGCGCAAAUACUUCUAAAUACUUGAGGCCUACUGAUGUAACUGCCAAAAUUAUUUAAAGUUAAGUUUAAUACUGAUCUUUGAAGUAACCGAUGUUGUUUUUUUGUUUUAAAGAUUCUUAAUAAAAAAAUGGUAACAUUUAAGAAUUAUAAUUUUUAGUUUCAGUGUAAUAAAUAAAAAUGAUACAUUAAUAAUCUAAACCCGUUUUUGUCUGAUUGUCAUUAUUUUGUUGUCAAGCCUGUAUUUAUUUGUUUAAAAAGAUUUAUUUGACUCCAUAAAACGAAACAAACGUGCACAUCAGGCAAUCUUAGCUCAUUCAAAUUUUAUUUAAAAAAACGACAAACGUAAUAAAUUAUUUAUUAAAACAAAACCGACAAACAAGUUUAUGUUCCCUUGUGGCCGAGUAGGCAUGAUUGGUAGUCUUGAUUCAAGACAAUACUCUUGAGAAAGCGCCCUCUUCUGGCAAUAUUAAUUAUUUGCGGCACUAUUAACAACAUAUUAAUUAUUAUCGCCACAAGAGGGCGCUCUCUCGACGACUGAUCCAGAGACUAAUCGCUAUUGCGUAUAUACGCGUAUAAUACAUGUGCGCAUCAAUAUUUCGUUCUAAUGUUUAUCACCUCAAAAAUUUUUUUCUCCAACCCGGAAGACGCCAUAGCCUAGCGGAUAGGGAGACGGCUUCAAAGGACUACACUGGAGACAUCUGUGCGGGUUCGAGCCCCGGCCAGGACACCACCCACAUGGAGACACCAGAGGAACGCCCACGGACCCCGGACCACGACGAGGAGGCAACAUGGCGGAGAUACACCAGGGGGAGGCGUGGACCCGGAGAGAGAGAGAGAGAGGGGGGAGAGGUGGACCGGGCAGGAAGGAAAGUGGAGGCGAGAUUUUUUUUUUAAUUAAAUUUUAUUUAAUUUUAAUAAAAAAAAAAAAAAAAAGUCAAAAUUAACGGUGAAUGGUUUUCUUAAAAUCGCCUGAAACGCACGCUCGUUAAUUUUUUUCAUUUUCCAUUAAAGGAAAUCCAUAAUUGUAAAAACUUGCAAAAAUCACCACUAAAUUUUGCUUUUUUAAAUUUCAUUUUCUUAAAAUCGCCUGAAACGCAUGCUCGUAAA